UCCGGUUUGGCACCGGCAGUCCUCCCAGAGUCCUCGGCUUGACCCGGUAGCAACUGGGAGCGGGGGUUGCGCUCGUUGCGGGACUUAACCCAACAUCUCACGACACGAGCUGACGACAGCCAUGCAGCACCUGUCUUGGGACUCCGAAGAGCGACCAUGGUUUCUCACGGUCUUCCCCAAGAUGUCAAGCCCAGGUAAGGUGGGAUGACGUUACGGUCUUACU
rnacentral:misc_RNA from 1 species